CGAGUUUGAUCCUGGCUCAGAUCGAACGCUGGCGGCGUGGCUAAAGCAUGCAAGUCGUACGCGAAAGUUCCCUUCGGGGAGCAAGUAGAGUGGCGAAAGGGCGAGUAAUACAUGGGUAACGUACCUCGGGCUUAGGGAUAGCUGCGGGAAACUGCAGGUAAUACCCAAUGAUACCAUCGUUUCACAAGUUAUGAUGGUCAAAGGUGGGGAUCUUCGGACCUACCGGCCUGAGAGCGGCCCAUGUCCUAUCAGCUAGUUGGUGAGGUAACGGCCCACCAAGGCAACGACGGGUACCGGGACUGAGAGGUUGACCCGGCGCAUUGGGACUGAGAUACUGCCCAGACUCCUACGGGAGGCUGCAGCAACGAAUAUUCCGCAAUGGACGAAAGUCUGACGGAGCGACGCCGCGUGCGGGAAUAAGCCCUUCGGGGUGUAAACCGCUGUCAGGGAUCACCAAGCAAAAAGGGCGAAUAGUCCUUUACGUUGAGGAAUCCCAAAGGAAGCCACGGCUAACUUCGUGCCAGCAGUCGCGGUAAUACGAAGGUGGCUAGCGUUGUUCGGAAUCACUGGGCUUAAAGAGCACGUAGGCGGCUUGCCAAGCGUCCUGUGAAAUCCCUCGGCUCAACCGAGGAAUUGCUGGGCGAACUGGUAGGCUUGAGGUAGGUAGGGGCGCAUGGAACUCUUGGUGGAGCGGUGGAAUGCGUAGAUAUCAAGAGGAACGCCGGUGGCGAAGGCGAUGCGCUGGGCCUAUCCUGACGCUGAGGUGCGAAAGCCAGGGGAGCGAACGGGAUUAGAUACCCCGGUAGUCCUGGCCCUAAACGAUGUCCACUAGGUCGAAGGUUCUCUGACGGAGUUUCGGCCGAAACAAAAGCGUUAAGUGGACCGCCUGGGGAGUACGGUCGCAAGGCUAAAACUCAAAGGAAUUGACGGGGGCUCACACAAGCGGUGGAGCAUGUUGCUUAAUUCGAUUCAACGCGAAGAACCUUAUCCUGGGCUUGACAUGCAGGAAUACCUCCCUCGAAACAGGGUUGGUUGCCCUUCAGGGUGAAAUCUGCACAGGUGCUGCAUGGCUGUCGUCAGCUCGUGUCGUGAGAUGUUGGGUUAAGUCCCGUAACGAGCGAAACCCUUAUCGUUAGUUGCCAGCGCGUAAUGGCGGGGACUCUAGCGAGACUGCCGGUGUUAAACCGGAGGAAGGUGGGGAUGACGUCAAGUCCUCAUGGCCUUUAUGCCCAGGGCUGCAAACGUGCUACAAUGGCUGGUACAAACCGACGCAAAACCGCGAGGUCGAGCAAAUCGGAAAGAGCCAGCCCCAGUUCGGAUUGGAGUCUGCAACUCGACUCCAUGAAGUCGGAAUCGCUAGUAAUCGCGUAUCAGCAUGACGCGGUGAAUGUGUUCCUGAGCCUUGUACACACCGCCCGUCAAGUCAUGGAAGCUGGGAGCACCCGAAGUCGCUCCGAUUCAGGAGUGCCGAAGGUGAGUUCGGUGACUGGGACUAAGUCGUAACAAGGUA
rnacentral:rRNA from 1 species